GCGCGGGGCAGCAGUACUGAUGGUACGAGGCGUGGCUGUUAGGAGGGAGGCUGGACGUGUAGAGAGAGGAGGAGGAGGCGGAGGAGGAAGGAGUGGUGAUGCUGGACGGACGACAAGAGGAGGCGGGGUUGCUAGAGAGACAGGAAGUGAGAGAGAAGAGGGAGAGAGCCAGCGGGAGAGAGAGAACGAGAGAGAAAAGAAGGAAAAAUAAAGUCAAGAGAGGAACACAGAAAGCACGCGAACCUGGCAACCGUCUGAUGCCGAACGACGAGGCCGCCGCGUGAACCUGAAAAUGAGCACGUUUGGAUUCAAGGAUGAUGUUUCGAUCAAAAGAGAAUAGCAACAUGCAAGGCGGCCGGAGAAGAACGACGGGAUUUCGGCUCAUUUCAUUUGGGAAAGCUUUGAGAUCCAAGUGUGGUCAAGCAAGGAGUUCAACUCAUAUUUCAAGGCAGCGCUGUAGUCGUGUGCCCGGACGACGUGCCUGCAGUGCCGUCAAGUGUGAAAUGAAACAACCAACUGUCUUGUAACCUAAGGGAGUACAAAUACAUUUUGGAAUACAUUUUUGAAUUUUCACAUAGUUGUACUUGAUUGUUUAUACCUUUAUACACUAGUGACAUUAGUGCAAAAUGUCUUCAAUCUCUUGCCUUGGCGGAGGUCUGCGCUCAACUGUCAUUCACAUUUUCUUUUGAACUUAUAUUAUUUCUUCUUCAAGUAGAUUACAUUUUUAAAGACUUAGUUGGCAUACAUAAUACAACCCCAAUUUCAAUGAAGUUGUGUCGUUGUGUUAAACAUAAAUUAAAAACAGAAUACAAUGAUUUGCAAAUCAUGUUCGACCUGUAUUUAAUUGAAUACACGACAAAGACGAUAUUUAAUGUUCAAACUGAUAAACUUGAUUGUUUUUAGCAAAUAAUCAUGAACUUUAUUUCUUUUUAUUUAAUUCAUGAAUUUUAUGACUGCAACACAUUCCAAAAAAGCUGGGACAGGGUCAUGUUUACCACUGUGUUACCUCACCUUUUCUUUGAACAACAUUCAAUAAACGUUUGGGAACUGAGGACACUAAUUGUUGAAGCUUUGGAUGUGGAAUUCUUUCCUAUUCUUGCUUGAUGUACAGCUUCAGCUGUUCAACAGUCCGGGGUCUCCGUUGACGUAUUUUACGCUUCAUAAUGCGCCACACAUUUUCAAUGGGAGACAGGUCUGGACUGCAGGCAGGCCAGUCUAGUACCCGCACUCUUUUACUACGAAGCCACGCUGUUGUAACACGUGCAGAAUGUGGUUUGGCAUUGUCUUGCUCAAAUAAGCAGGGGCGUCCAUGAAAAACACGUUGCUUGGAUGGCAGCACAUGUUUCUCCAAAACCUGUAUUUACUUUUCAGCAUUAAUGGUGCCUUCACAGAUGUGUAAGUUACCCAUGCCAUUGGCACUAACACAGCCCCAUACCGUCACAGAUGCUGGCUUUUGAACUUUGCGUCCAUAACAGUCCGGAUGGUUCUUUUCCUCUUUGGCCCGGAGGACACGACGUCCACAAUUUCCACAAACAAUUUGAAAUGUGGACUCGUCGGAGAACAGAACACUUUUCCACUUUGGAUCAGUCCAUUUUAGAGGAGCUCGGGCCGAGAGAAGCUGGCAGCGUUUCUGGGUGUUGUUGAUAAAUGGCUUUUGCUUUGCAUAGUAGAGUUUCAAGUUGCACUUCCGGAUGUAGCGCCGAACUGUAUUUACUGACAUUGGUUUUCUGAAGUGUUCCUGAGCCCACGUGGUGAUAUCCUUUACACAUUGAUAUCGGUUUUUUAUGCAGUGCCGCCUGAGGGAUCGAAAGUCACGGGCAUUCAUUCUUGGUUUUCGGCCUUGCUGCUUACAAGAUGUGAUUUCUCCAGAUUCUCUGAACCUUUUGAUGAUAUUAUGGACCGUAGAUGAUGAAAUCCCUAAAUUCCUUGCAAUUGUACGUUGAGGAACAUUGUCCUUAAACUGUUGGACUAUUUUCUCACGUACUUGUUCACAAAGAGGUGAACCUCGCCCCAUCUUUGCUUGUGAAUGACUGAGCAAUUCAGGGAAGCUCCUUUUCUACCCAAUCACGGCACCCACCUGUUCCCAAUGAGCCUGUUCACCUGUGGGAUGUUCCAAACACGUGUUUGAUGAGCAUUCCUCAACUUUCUCAGUCUUUUUUGCCACCUGUCCCAGCUUUUUUGGAACGUGUUGCAGCCAUAAAAUUCUAACUUAAUGAUUAUUUGCUAAAAACAACAAAAUGUAUCAGUUUGAACAUGAAAUAUCUUGUCUCUAUAGUGUAUUCAAUUAAAUAUAGGUCGAACAUGAUUUGCAAAUCAUUGUAUUCUCUUUUUAUUUAUAUUUAACACAACGUCCCAACUUCGUUGGAAUUGGGGUUGUAAUAUUUAUCAAUUACAGUGCCAUCUUCUCAACAGGAAUUUAGUGCAUUUACAUUUAAGAUUUGUCAGAAUCAAAGUUGGCCAAAAAGGCAGACAUUUGAUAUGAUUCAUAAUAAUAAUCAUCAUCAGAAUAACACUACAGGACAUGUAUGUGAAUUAGCUGACGAAGACCGAUUGACUGACGACACAAAGAGUCAGAAGGAGAGCUCCAGCUCCAGAAAGGAGGCUAGUCGUGUUGUCACGGGCAACCGCUGAAAAUCCAGAAACAUGUUGUCACGGUAACGCGGCCUGCGUGUAAUCUACGCUCGCUGCUAAAGUCGCACAAAAACCAAACAACAAGACAAAAACGCUUUCAAACAACAUCGGGGAGACGCUCGCCUCCCAAACCCCGGCGGCCAUCUUGCGCCACACGCAACGCCUCAAAGGGAAUGAUACGCACACACGCACCGACACACGUGCAUGCACACACACGCAUCCACAAACAUGGCUGUGAAAAAAGUAUUUGCUCCCUCCUCAAAUUCUCAUUUUUGGGCGUAGUUUCCCCACUUGAAUGUUUAAGCUCAUCACACAAAUGUAAGGAUCAGGCAAAAAUAACCCAAAUAAACAUGAAAGGCACUUUUUCCAUCCAUCCAUUUUCUUUAUCGCUCUUUACUCCUCACACGGGUCACGGCCUGCUGGAGCCAAUCCCAGCUAUCUUCGGGCGGGAGGCGGGGUACACCCCGAACCGGUCGCCAGCCAAUCGCAGGGCACAUAGAAACAAACAACCAUUCGCACUCACAUUCACACCGACGGGCACUUUCGAGUCGUCAAUUAACCCAUUAGGCAUGUUUUUGGGAUGUGGGAGGAAACCGGAGUGCCCGGAGAAAACCCACGCAGGCACGGGGAGAACAUCCAAACUCCACACAGGCGGGGGCGGGUUUUUCCAGUCCCCAGAACUGUGAGGCAGAUGUGCGAACCAGUCGUCCACCGUGCCGCAAAUGCACUUUUUAAAUGGUGAUUUUAUUUAUUAAGCGAAAAAACUACUCAAAGUUACAUAGGCCUGUGGGGAAAAAUAAUGCCCCCCGAAACUGAAGAAGUGGUUGACCCGACCUCAGCAGCAGCAACAACAAGUCAAAUCAAACAUUUUCUACAACUGCCAAUGACUAUUUCAAAUCUCCGUGGAGAUAUUUUAGCCCGUUCUUCCUUGCACAAUUGUUGCAAUUCAGCAAAAAUAGAGCGGUGUCAACCAUGAACUACGCUGGCCGACACAGACCACAACAAACGCAAAUGCCGUAACGCGACACAUUCAAAGCACAGCAACAACAUUAAAACCACUACAAUGACAUUCAAAGCACAACACAACACAUUAAAUCUACAACAAAACACAAAGGCGCAACACAACACAUUAAAACCACUAUACAACGACAUUAAGACACAAUGGAAAUGAAAAGGUCACAACAUGACGACAUUAACGUAACGCACACCGUAAGUAAGCUCCCGGUUCCGCCGACUGUGUUGGCGGGGACGCAUAUUGCCGACGGACCAACGGGCUUCCCUUUACCUUUAAUAUUUACAUUUGUUUGAUGAGCUUAAACAAUAAAGUGCGGAAACUAUGCAACAAAAAUAAGAACUUGAGGAGGGGCCAAACUCUUUUUCACAGCACUGUAGAUGCGUACACACUUACAGUAUGUGCACACGCAAGCGCUACACGCAUACACUCGCACAGGCGCGCACACACCGGGACCCCAGGGUGCCGUCUUGCGGCCCGCCUCGGAGAGGUAAUUCAUCACAUCGCUAUUCAUAUCGGCCAGCCUCGUUUCCACGGCAGCGUGCGCGCAAACACACACUCACGCAUAAACACGAGUCGUACAAAAGCAAACAACAACGAUGCAAAAAAAGCUUUCAAACAACAACGCGUGAAACUCGUGAAGAGACUGGCCUCCCAAACUCAAGCAGUAAUUUCACUCUGCACGUGGCAGUUAAUGCUGAAUGAUUAUUUAUGAUGGCACGCACACGCACGCUUUGCAGCAAAGGCCAACUUGAGGCGUAUGCGCCUUGUUGUCGCUAAAUUAUACAACAUUCUUGCUCCAAAAUACGAGUAGGUGUGUCAGACAAGUCCCAGGACUGGUGUCACAAAAUACGGAUUUCACAUCCAAACUCCAAAUUCCAACUUUUUCCCCCUCAAGGUGAUCCCCCAUCGGUUUCACGCGCUUCUCUGCCACGCCUUCAAUCGGCAGAGCUGCCAACCUCUAAAAAUUCACUUCCGGAACAAUUUGUCCAAAUUUGUCUUAAUUUCCACAUUUUCAAUUUAUGUGUGACAGUCAUAAUCAUAAUCGAUAAUGAAUUAUGGCUACUAUAUUUGUCAUUCUGAUGUUUUUAUUACAUCAAACUUGUAAUGGUGUACACAGUUCCGGCCUGAAUUAAAGUGCGAUAUGAGAUUGUGACGUUCCAUCGUCCAAAAAUAUCUGUCUAUGGAUUAAUUCACCUUUGCCAAUUCUAUUUUCAUCCCUGGUAACAAAAAACAAAACAAAAAACAAACCAAACAAACAAACAAACAAAAAAUACAUGUUUUUUUAAUGUAAGUCCGUUAAAUCAGCUUAAUCAGAUCUCAAACAUCCAAAUUAAAACUCAGCACUCUAUUUUGCAAAUAUGAUAGACUGAAUUGUAUAAUUGAAGUAUGAACAAUAGUUUUGGUUUCUAUUUUGUGCAGUGUACUUCUUGAACGCAUACAAGUAGUACAUGGGAGAAGAAGAAAUGCAAUUACGUCUUCUCUUACACGCUAUUUGUAUUCCGUAUUGUAUUUCCUAUACAUGAGAGGAUGCACAUUUCCCCAUUGUGGGACCAAUAAAUGUUAUCUUAUCUUACAAACAAAUAUUUAUUUUAAAAUAUAAACAAUAAACUUUUAACCUGCUCGCGUUCUGAAGUGAUGCAGUGACGUACUAAUUCAUUCCCGGUUCAGACGCGGCGCCCUGUGUGGACGUGUAUUAUUUUAUAUUUAUAUCUUUGCAUUGAUUCAGGAUCAUCCACAGCUCCGUCGUCACGGCCAUCUUGUCAUCUUCGUCUUCAAAAUGGGAUGACCCCUUGAGUUUUGAAAAGAAAAAGAAAAUCACACGGAAACAAGUCAGGUGAGAAGGGGGAUUGCUCCAGCACACCGAUGUUCUUCUCUGCCAGGAACAGUCAGAUGCUCAGGGUGUUGCAAGUAGGCGUGUCUUCAUGGUAAAGCAGCCAUGAGUUUUCCUGCCAAAACUCUCGCUUCUUCUCGUGCACUGAACGAAGCAAAGGAAGGAAGCCGCAGGGUGUUUUUGUCGACGUGAAGGUCGAUCGUCUGGCCCACUUUAGUUUCGGUUGGAAAUACCUUUUGUGACACCAGUCCUGGAACUUGUCUGACACACUUUGCAUUCACGCUAUGCAUACAGUAGCAACAACUUUUGAUGAUUUGCAACAUAAGGCAAGUCAUACAAAGUCAUGUACUGCACUUUAUGAAAUGAAUUCCAUUUAACACACGAUCUCUCAUCGUCCCAUUCAUUGACUAAUAACACAUUUUCACUGCAUGAUAUUUGCGACUAAUACAAAGCCAAACUCCAAUGAAGUUGGGACGUUGCUUAAUAAAGCAGAAUCCGGCAAAAACGCAAUCUCUUACCAAGAAUAUUUGUCUUAUUUCUCGUCAGAAGUCUCAAAACUAAUCUGCUUACACUGAAAAUAAGAUUCAGCACCUAAAAAGGUUAAUUGUUUUGAAGACAAUUUUCACUUGUUUCAAGCAAAUUUUUCCUUGAAAGAAGUCAAAAAUAAAAUUGCCAAUGGCAAGCCCCACAUAUUUACGAUUCGGCACCUGUGGAUUCACUCAUCAGUGGAUUUCCCCCCCCCCCCAUUUUUUCAAUAUUUUUCCCAAUUUUUUGCAUUUUUGUUUUCUUUUUUCUUUCUGUUCUUUUUUUUGUUUUUUUUUAUAAUGGGCAUCUAUUAUCUGCAGAUUUUCACAAUUCGCGGUCCAGCCCGUCCCCAUCCCUUCCCCUUGGGCCCACUGUGGUCGGCCUCGCCUCAACACUUCUCCUCUCGAAGGGGGUUGGACUCUGUUCCUCUCUGGAGCCGCUCCAGCGAUUUGCAAAGGACCUUCCUGAUGGGGAACGCCGAAAAGCUCACAUUGCCAAGCGAGUAAACAAGUGGGCCAAAAAUGUGCGAAAUGUACUCACAAUCAAAGCAAUCAAAUUAACCCAAAUUGUGAGCGCAGAAGAGGUCGCGAUCGCCACGGUGAUGAGUCCAGCCAACGACUGCGCUCUCCCGUUCGGCAUCGUGUCCGAGCUCGUCGCCACAAUCGUCAUGCGGUCAUGUAGUUUGGUGAUUCCCAAACAUAACAAUUCUUGGAUAAUCAGCGAUAAACUGACGUUUUCAGGGUCGGAAAAAAAACUAAAUGAAUCAUCCAUCCAUCCAUUUUCUGAGCCGCUUCUCCUCACUAGGGUCGCGGGCGUGCUGGAGCCUAUCCCAGCUGUCAUCGGGCAGGAGGCGGGGUACACCCUGAACUGGUUGCCAGCCAAUCGCAGGGCACAUAGGAACAAACAACCAUUCGCACUCACAGUCAUGCCUACGGGCAAUUUAGAGUCCCCAAUUCAUGCAUCUUUUUGGGAUGUGGGAGGAAACCGGAGUACCCGGAGACAACCCACGCAGGCACGGGGAGAACAUGCAAACUCCACACAGGCGGGGACGGGGAUUGAACCCCGCACCUCAGAACUGUGAGGCUGACGCUCUAACCAGUCGGCCACCGUGCCGCCUCUAAAUGAAUCAAGAAAAAAAAAAAAAAAAAAAAAAGAACAACAAGCGGGGUCCGCUGUAUUGACACAUUUACCCGUUCAUGUUUUUUCUUUGGAACCCAUCCCAAGCUAUUCACUGAAAAACUUGAGAUAAGAGUGCCUUGACUUACAAGUUUUUCCAGAUACGAGUUAGCGCUUUGUUUUUGUUUUGGGACACGAGCAAAAAUUUGAGCUACGAGUGCGCUUCAGACGGCUAGCGCUAGAUGGCGCCAGCAAACUCGACAAAAAACGGCUGGCAAACUGGCAGCCAUGUUCACGCUCACGCGGAUCUGCAUGAGCCUCCUGAACUGUUUCCAUGACAACCCCCUCCCAUCAGCACCAGCCGCCUUUGUGUCUCAUUUGAAUGUGGCCUAAUAGAAGACACACUGUGUGCGUGGAUGUGGAGGUGGACAACAGAAAGAUGUGUACUUGCAUUGGACUUAGAAUGAAGCUGCAAACAAGAGCACAGAGGCAACAAACGAGCAGACCUCCACCAAGGCUUAAAAAUGGUGACAUUGUGGCCUUAAAGAGGACUUGGCAUGGAAAUUGGACUUUUGUCAUGUUUUCCACACUCUGGGCUCGACCGCACGUAGACGCAAGUGCCGAGCCAUGUCUUUUUUAGACACAAGAUGUCACCACAGAGCCACCAAAGCCAACAAUAGUCGAUGUUUAGGCUUUGUUCAUGUUUAUAUCAUAUAUAAAUGCAUGUAACUUUUUGCCCAAUGACACCCGCCAUAAAAUUGUUUUUUUUUUUAGCAAUCUGGCUUGACACUAUCGUGUCAUCAAUCCGAGUUACACUGGUUAGCGUAGCAAACACAGGAAGUCAACUAUCCCGUAUUCCGCGUUGGUCACAUGACGUUCCACAUAGAGCGGAUUCAUUAUGUCCAAAAAGGGUCGGUUCGAAAUGUAUUUACUAUUAACGUGAUGGCGACGGUAAAAGUUGUGAGAAAGCGGUACAGAAAUUUCUUUGACGAUGACUCCGCUACAGAUAAAACAAUUGCCCGGCCGGCGGUUGGAGGGAGUAAUAUGGUGGAAUACUUCCCAAGCGGAAUAACCCUCACAAGUCUCACUCAAAGUCCGCUGGAGAAGUUCGCCACUCGGUCCAAAAGGCUAACCUUAGAACAGGACUUGUGAUCGCGUCGUCACACUGCCUUGCAUUGUGGACGCGUCUGACAUGUUAGGAGCUCGUGAAAAAUGAACAGAUUGUCAAAUGUUGAGUGGAACAGUAAUCCUGACUGCCUCCGUUGUGUACGACGGCCAUCUUUGUCUACCUUGUGUGUAGUGUGAGUGCCUACACUUUGGAUUAGUUUUAAUAUUUCGAGUCAUUGGCCUCUCGUGUGCAAUUCACCAACGGAUGGGUGUACGACCUUCACAUGAUGAUGAGACUGGCUGACGCUGAUGUGAGCGUCAUCCCCAACAUUUUCGGAGCUUAACCUAGUAGGACGUGUGUUAGCUUUCAGUGUCUGUUUGAAAAGUCUAGUUGAGCAAAAAACAACUACAACAUUAUCACCAAUCAGUGAACAUAGGAAAUUAGAGAUACAUGUGCAAAAUAACAAAUACAAACCCCAAUUCCAUCCAAGUUGGGAUGAUGUGUCAAAACAUAAAAACUGAAUACAAGGAUUUGCAAAUAUUUUUCAACCUAGAUUCAUUGGAAUACACUACAAAGACAAGCUAUUUCAUGUUCAAACUGAUGUAUGUUAUUGUUAUUUUUUUUUUAAAACUCUACCAUGCAAAGCGAAAGCCAUAACUCAACAACAGCCACAAACGCCGCCGGCCAGCUUCUCUGGGCCUGAGCUCAUCUGAGAUGGACUGACGCAAAGUGGAAAAGUGUGCUGUGAUCUGACGAGUGCACAUUUCAAAUGGCUUUUGCAAAUCAUCGACAUGGUGUCCUCCGGGCCAUAGAGGAAAAGGACCAUCCGGAUUUCUAUCAGCGCAAAGUUGAAGAGAAGUCAGCAUCUGUGAUGGUAUGGGGGUUUUGGAGCAACACAUGCUGCCAUCCAAGCAAGUUCUUUUUCGGGGACAAUGCCAGGCCACAUUCUGCACGUGUUACAACACCGUGGCUUAAUUCCUAGUAAAAGAGUGCGAGUACUAGACUGGCCUGGCAGCAGUUCAGACCUGUCUCACAUUGAAAAUGUCUACAAAAUACCACAACGGAGACUCCGGACUGUGAAGCAACUCAAUUUGUACACCAAGCAAGAAUGGCAAAGUAUUCCACCUACAGAGCUUCAACAAUUAGUGUCCUCACUUCCCAAACGCUUGUUGAGUGUUGCUAAAAGGAAAAGUUUUAUAAAACAGUGGUAAACAUGCCCCUGUCUCAGACUUUUGGGAACACAUCGCAGACAUCGAAUUCAGAAUGAGGCAAUAUUUACAAAAAAAUAAUAAAGUUUAUCACUUCCAACAUGAAAUAUCUUGUCUUUUUUGUGUCUUCAAUUGAAUACAGGUUGAAAAGGAUUUCCAAAUCAUUGUAUUCUGUAUUUAUUUACACUUUACGCAACCUCCCAACUUCAGUGGAAUUGGGAUUUGUAAAACAAACACACGAAACAUGACUGCAAACGAUCCAAAAAUCGACCUAAAAAAUUAUGGGAAAAUCUUAAGCUUUCACUGUGGGAGCUGCAGAGGACGACGACAAAGAAGACAUCUGAAUGAGUCACGGCCGCAUUUCAGCCGCCUGGGAGAAGGCAGCCACGCUUGUCAGCAUUAGCGAGUGUCGCACACGCUCAGCGCACGUGCACGAGCGCGCUCCUUCCAGCGGGCUGUCCGCAGUUGCCUAGCAACAUCAGGCGCCGUGACCAGUGCUCGGUGUCAGAUUCUACGAGAAAGGAGGUGCCGGCGAUUCGCACGGGACAACGUUCACUUCCUGAUGGGGUGCGCCGAAAGAUUGCGUUGCCAAGCAACUACGCGACGACUUAAGACCUAAGAAUGUGCGGCAUCGUGUCCGAGUUUGUCGCGACGAUUAUCAUCAAUUCCCAACCACCCUGUCUCAGCACAUUAGUGUGCCGUGAGGGAUUAACAGAUGAACUGUGGGAAAUGAUCUAAUUUCACUUAAUUGGUUGGAAAAUGAUUACACUAAUCCUCCGCAUAUUUACAGUUCACAAGUCAGGAAUUCCCGUUUGUGAAGAUGCGACAAGAUUCCGCCAAAGAUCUGUUUAAAUAGGAAAGGAGUGCAGUCAUGUACAUCUGGACUGACACAAGCUUUGUGUGUUUGGGAGGAGCUUAGUUUAACCUGGGUUGUGAGUGAAAAGUACAAACAGUCUUUGCUGCAUGUGCAUGAUCACAUGCAUGUACAGUGCAUUUUUGGGAAAUGUGUAACACAUUUAUUUUUGAACAUAAUGUUGUAAGAAUUUGAGAUUUCCUUAAACUGGUUUGAGAUCAUAGUUUGUAUUAUAAACUAUUAAUACAGAUCAUUAUAUAAGACUUUAAGGGGGCGUCAACUACAGUAACACACCGAUCCUAAACAUCAGUGACGACGUGUUUGGCGAAAGGAACGGAUGGACUCAGCACAGAUUUAGCAUGUUAGCAUAGCACCUGCUGCUAAAUUGUCAUCAGAGUCCAAACUCGAGUUUGGACAAAUGUUUGAGCAAGAAAUACAAAUUGUACAGUCGUACAAAUAAUAAGUAAAGUGACUAUUUGUAGACGAACAAUCGGGUCUCUCGAGUGCCUGCUCAGCCGUCAAGUGUGGCAACCAAGUCAAUCUUUUGUUGGCUGAUGAGAUCCCAAAAUGUGUCUGUGAGCAACUGUGGGAAUAAUUUACAUAAUCCGCCCACACACCGUGUUUCACCGCUGACUUAGCAGCUAUGCUGGUCCAAGAUCCGCCAUUCAGAGCAGGGAAGCACGAUCACGUCAAAGCCAAAAGCUAAAUCGAGUUGCAGUCUUAGCAUAGAUUAGCAUCAGCUAACAGCACCGUUAGCUUCUGAUAACCGGCACGCAUUUCAACAUGUUGGGAGGGGGAUAUUUGUUUACCGACAUGUCUGCAUGCGGCACUUGCACAGAUCUACUACACCAAUGGACAAGUGUAAUUGGGCAGUGUGGUGAUGAAGUGCUGCCUCCACCAGGGAAAACACAAUAGAAUCUUACUUUGUUCAUAUGGGGGCUUGCUUUUUUCUUCACAUUCGGGGCUACUUGAAAACAAGAAAAACUUGAAAAACCAAAGCCGGUUUCGGCAUUGGCCCUGCAGUAGAGGGGCUGAACAGUGGCUCAUCUACAUGGGACGGGACCGCGCCCUAAAUACCGGCUAAUUUCAGCGGGACUAAAGAAAAGUGGAUGGGGUUAUUUGUAUUUGGUAUUGUGUCAGCUGCAUGCUCAAAACGCACAAAUCUGCUGCACUUAUUGACAGGUAAAAGUCUGCAGCUCGGAGAGUAAGUGCUGCCCCCGCCAGUGAAAAUGCAAUCCAUGCUGUUUUACUGUCUAUAUGGGGGCUCACAUCCGAUUCACAAUUUGCACUUUCUUUUAAGCUCGGGGCUCAGCAAAUUGCUCCGCCCCUAGUAAGAAAAGUCGUGGCCUGCGCUGGCCCCGCAGUAGAGGGAGGUGGGGUGAGCAAUGCCUCAUUUGCAUGAUAGGACCGCCGCCCCCGCCCUUUAAAACGGGACAAUCGACCAGUGGUUAGCACGUCUGCCUCACAAUUCUGGGGUUGUUGGUUCGAAUCCUGGCUCCAGGUAGUACGGCUCGCUCCCAAAUAUAAAAAGUUAAUGAAGACGGUAAAUUGUCCGUCGGUGCGAAUGUGAGUGUAAAUGCCUGUUUGUCUACACCGUAUGUGCUCUGUAAUUGGCUGAUAAACAGUCUAGGGUGACCCCGCCUCUUCCCCAAAUUCAGCCGGGAAAGGCUCCAGCUCACCUCUGACCCCAAUGAGGAUAAGCGCUUUUGAAAUUGAAUGGAUGGAUGAGGAAUUGUGCUGUAAUUCUUGAUCCCUUGUAUUUUGAGGAAAGCAUGUCAAAGUCAUGUAAUUAAGGCACCUGAACCUGUUU